UACGUAGGGUGCGAGCGUUGUCCGGAAUUACUGGGCGUAAAGAGCUCGUAGGUGGUUUGUCGCGUUGUUCGUGAAAACUCACAACUCAAUUGUGGGCGUGCGGGCGAUACGGGCAGACUGGAGUACUGCAGGGGAGACUGGAAUUCCUGGUGUAGCGGUGAAAUGCGCAGAUAUCAGGAGGAACACCGAUGGCGAAGGCAGCUCGCUGGGACGGUACUGACGCUGAGGCGCGAAAGCGUGGGGAGCGAACAGG
rnacentral:rRNA from 1 species